rnacentral:rRNA from 1 species
GAUGAACGCUAGCUACAGGCUUAACACAUGCAAGUCGAGGGGCAUCAGGAAGAAAGCUUGCUUUCUUUGCUGGCGACCGGCGCACGGGUGAGUAACACGUAUCCAACCUGCCCUUUACUCGGGGAUAGCCUUUCGAAAGAAAGAUUAAUACCCGAUGGCAUAAUGAUUCCGCAUGGUUUCAUUAUUAAAGGAUUCCGGUAAAGGAUGGGGAUGCGUUCCAUUAGGUUGUUGGUGAGGUAACGGCUCACCAAGCCUUCGAUGGAUAGGGGUUCUGAGAGGAAGGUCCCCCACAUUGGAACUGAGACACGGUCCAAACUCCUACGGGAGGCAGCAGUGAGGAAUAUUUGGUCAAUGGGCGCUAGCCUGAACCAGCCAAGUAGCGUGAAGGAUGAAGGCUUAUGGGUCGUAAACUUCUUUUAUAUAAGAAUAAAGUGCAGUAUGUAUACUGUUUUGUAUGUAUUAUAUGGAUAAAGGAUCGGCUAACUCCGUGCCAGCAGCCGCGGUAAUACGGAGGAUCCGAGCGUUAUCCGGAUUUAUUGGGUUUAAAGGGAGCGUAGGUGGACUGGUAAGUCAGUUGUGAAAGUUUGCGGCUCAACCGUAAAAUUGCAGUUGAUACUGUCAGUCUUGAGUACAGUAGAGGUGGGCGGAAUUCGUGGUGUAGCGGUGAAAUGCUUAGAUAUCACGAAGAACUCCGAUUGCGAAGGCAGCUCACUGGACUGCAACUGACACUGAUGCUCGAAAGUGUGGGUAUCAAACAGGAUUAGAUACCCUGGUAGUCCACACAGUAAACGAUGAAUACUCGCUGUUUGCGAUAUACAGUAAGCGGCCAAGCGAAAGCAUUAAGUAUUCCACCUGGGGAGUACGCCGGCAACGGUGAAACUCAAAGGAAUUGACGGGGGCCCGCACAAGCGGAGGAACAUGUGGUUUAAUUCGAUGAUACGCGAGGAACCUUACCCGGGCUUAAAUUGCAGUGGAAUGAUGUGGAAACAUGUCAGUGAGCAAUCACCGCUGUGAAGGUGCUGCAUGGUUGUCGUCAGCUCGUGCCGUGAGGUGUCGGCUUAAGUGCCAUAACGAGCGCAACCCUUAUCUUCAGUUACUAACAGGUCAUGCUGAGGACUCUGGAGAGACUGCCGUCGUAAGAUGUGAGGAAGGUGGGGAUGACGUCAAAUCAGCACGGCCCUUACGUCCGGGGCUACACACGUGUUACAAUGGGGGGUACAGAAGGCAGCUAGCGGGUGACCGUAUGCUAAUCCCAAAAUCCUCUCUCAGUUCGGAUCGAAGUCUGCAACCCGACUUCGUGAAGCUGGAUUCGCUAGUAAUCGCGCAUCAGCCACGGCGCGGUGAAUACGUUCCCGGGCCU